rnacentral:rRNA from 1 species
UGGGGAAUUUUGGACAAUGGGGGAAACCCUGAUCUAGCCAUCCCGCGUGUGCGAUGAAGGCCUUCGGGUUGUAAAGCACUUUUGGCAGGAAAGAAACGUCAUGGGUUAAUACCCCGUGAAACUGACGGUACCUGCAGAAUAAGCACCGGCUAACUACGUGCCAGCAGCCGCGGUAAUACGUAGGGUGCAAGCGUUAAUCGGAAUUACUGGGCGUAAAGCGUGCGCAGGCGGUUCGGAAAGAAAGAUGUGAAAUCCCAGAGCUCAACUUUGGAACUGCAUUUUUAACUACCGGGCUAGGGUGUGUCAGAGGGAGGUGGAAUUCCGCGUGUAGCAGUAAAAUGCGUAGAUAUGCGGAAGAACACCGAUGGCGAAGGCAGCCUCCUGGGAUAACACUGACGCUCAUGCACGAAAGCGUGGGGAGCAAACAGG